UACGUAGGGGGCGAGCGUUGUCCGGAAUUAUUGGGCGUAAAGCGCGCGUAGGCGGUUUUUUAAGUCUGAUGUGAAAGCCCACGGCUCAACCGUGGAGGGUCAUUGGAAACUGGAAAACUUGAGUGCAGAAGAGGAAAGCGGAAUUCCAUGUGUAGUGGUGAAAUACGUAGAGAUAUGGAAGAACACCAGUGGCGAAGGCGGCUUUCUGGUCUGAAAUUGACGCUGAGGCUCGAAAGCGUGGGGAGCAAACAGG
rnacentral:rRNA from 1 species